rnacentral:other from 1 species
ACAUCCCUGCUGUUUGCGUGAAUAGCCGUUUAGUUUUUGCCAACACAAAAACUUUGGGAGUUCGGACUUCAUAUAUGACUUGCAAGCCCACCCAUGGGAAACAUAAAGUAUGUGAGAGAACACCCCCCUGCAUUGCAGGUUAAAACUCGCGGCGCCACGGAUCAGUGGGGUUUUU